rnacentral:rRNA from 1 species
CUCCGUAGGUGGCCCUCUUUUUCCGGCUUUCUUGGGCGUCCCUCUAGCGCCGUCGGUUUCUUCCUUCUGAUGUGAAAGCCCCCGGCUCAACCGGGGAGGGUCAUUGGAAACUGGGAAACUUGAGUGCAGAAGAGGAGAGUGGAAUUCCAUGUGUAGCGGUGAAAUGCGUAGAUAUAUGGAGGAACACCAGUGGCGAAGGCGGCUCUCUGGUCUGUAACUGACGCUGAGGCUCGAAAGCGUGGGGAGCAAACAGGAUUAGAUACCCUGGUAGUCCACGCCGUAAACGAUGAGUGCUAAGUGUUGGAGGGUUUCCGCCCUUCAGUGCUGCAGCUAACGCAUUAAGCACUCCGCCUGGGGAGUACGACCGCAAGGUUGAA